UCAAAGAAGGAUGUUUAAACAGAUUUUUAAGACAUAUGCAUGUAAUUGCAUAUUCUUAUUAAUUGAUAAUCGUUAAAAUAAAGUUAACGACACAAAAAAAUUAAGCCACCAGCCUACCUUCCUUUUUUGGCGAUGUUAGUGAAAAAAUGGCUGUUUGGCAUAAUUGAACGUUAGAAAAAUUGCAGUCUGCUUUGUGCGCAAUGAUUGUUUAUUACUCAGAAAAUUCAAUACAAGUUUGAGUAUGUCUUGUUAAAUAUUAUUAAUAAUUAGUAAUACAUUCAAUAAAUUCCCUCAUAUCCUCUAAUACCGUGAUCGUGUAUUUGCCGACAGUAGGCGCGAUGGGGAAGUCGUCCCUGUACCACUUCACCUUGGGCACGGGGAACCCUCCGGCCACACACUCAAGCUUUACCUCGGAACCCAAGGUCGCCGUCAGGUCGGUUAGGGUCAUUAUGAAUUCGAGACCUUUCUGUGUAGCCGUGAACAACGCGCUUUCUGGGUUCAGCACAGCUGUACAUAAUUAAUUAAGUUAUACAGCGCAUUUUUCACAAAAACUAUUAACUUUCUACUGCAAAUAAAAUUGAAGAAACGUGAAAAAUGCUUUAAAAGUUAUAUGGUAAACAGAACUAUUUUUAAAGGUUUUCCAGCGUUGUCAUAUUGAGAUUAAUCGAUUAACUUAGACGAAAAUUUUAAUCGAGCAACACUAAACAAUGGCUGGUCACCUGCCAACAUGAAAUCAUAAACACGCGACCGUUUUGGGCAUCGGUUCUCCGCGCACCUGACAUUCUAUAUGUACGUGCUCGUCAUUCUCGUGCGGGCUGAUGUUGGCGGGAAGCGCGUGCGGAAAGCUUGGGGCCUCGUCUGCGUCUAUCACCUCGACCUCUGAGGCAGCCCUCACCAUUUGAAUCCCGGCCUGGGGUUUCCAGUGACCUGAACCUGGAAGGUGAUACACUGCCCCUCGUCCACCGUCUGUCGGCGCAGUUUGGUCACAAACAACGGCUUCGUCGGCACCUCGGUCGUUAUCUCCAGUACAGCUUUAACCGGUAACACGUGGAGGACACCUUGCUCCCACAAUUCCUCACGGUGCAUGUGUAGUUCCCGGUGUCGUCCUCCUCGCUUCGUGGGAUCGUCAGGCUCAGCAGGGGACCGCGUUGCUACAAACAUCAACGAUAGAACAGAACAAAACGGAGCAACAUAAGGCCAAGCUAUAUAUCGGUACAGCAUGUGGAUAAAAUACAUGGAGCACGCAACGCGUAUCUUGCUUUUACUUUAUCCAGC